UACGGGAGGCAGCAGUCGGGAAUAUUGCGCAAUGGAGGAAACUCUGACGCAGUGACGCCGUGUGCAGGAAGAAGGUCUUCGGAUUGUAAACUGCUUUAGACAGGGAAGAAACAAGACAGUACCUGUAGAAUAAGCUCCGGCUAACUACGUGCCAGCAGCCGCGGUAAUACGUAGGGAGCAAGCGUUAUCCGGAUUUAUUGGGUGUAAAGGGUGCGUAGACGGGAAAUUAAGUUAGUUGUGAAAUCCCUCGGCUUAACUGAGGAACUGCAACUAAAACUGAUUUUCUUGAGUGCUGGAGAGGAAAGUGGAAUUCCUAGUGUAGCGGUGAAAUGCGUAGAUAUUAGGAGGAACACCAGUGGCGAAGGCGACUUUCUGGACAGUAACUGACGUUGAGGCACGAAAGUGUGGGGAGCAAACAGGAUUAGAUACCCUGGUAGUCCACACCGUAAACGAUGGAUACUAGGUGUAGGGUGUGAUAAACAUUCUGUGCCGUCGCAAACGCAGUAAGUAUCCCGCCUGGGGAGUACGGCCGCAAGGU
rnacentral:rRNA from 1 species